UUGGGAUGGAGUGUCCCUUUAAAGUCUAAAUCAGCCAGUUAAAUGCAUGAAAAAUAUAUGCUAGGUGGAGGGUGGUAGCUUCAUUCUCUUUGAACUUAGAAAGCAGGAAACAGAAGUUCAAGAGCUGCUGUACUGCAACUUCCAAGGAAAUGCAUCCUUCUUAACUUGACCUUCAGACAAGUCCGAGGUUCAAAGACUCAAUCCACAUUUGCUCCUCUACUGGAGAUGGCCUACCAAGAUUUGAUGGAGAAUUAAUCACUUGCUUUCAGCCUGAGGCGAAUCCAUCAGUGCAUGGGAAUACUGUGGUGUUUCUCUGUUAGAAGCUGGGAAAAAUUUGUGGCUGACAUGCUGAAUGGAGAUCUCGCCCACCUUGGCCAGGCUCACUUCCUCUUAAUAUUAUGGGAGAGAGCGACAUCUAGCGUUUGACAUAAGUGCAACCAAACAGGAGCAAUGUGUUUCUACAGUACGUUAUGAUUUACUGCAAACCUUCUUCAAACUGAACACAACUGCAUGAAAAUAUCAGUCGAUUGUUUGCUUUUCUGUAAUUUGUUCAUGAACAGAAAUCUUAGUGUUCAGUUAUAA
ensembl:lncRNA